ACUCCUACGGGAGGCAGCAGUAGGGAAUCUUCCACAAUGGACGAAAGUCUGAUGGAGCAACGCCGCGUGAGUGAAGAAGGGUUUCGGCUCGUAAAACUCUGUUGUUAAAGAAGAACAUAUCUGAGAGUAACUGUUCAGGUAUUGACGGUAUUUAACCAGAAAGCCACGGCUAACUACGUGCCAGCAGCCGCGGUAAUAC
rnacentral:rRNA from 3 species